rnacentral:lncRNA from 1 species
UGUAAUUUUAGUGCUUCGUAUUUGAAUAAAAUUUGUUUCUGACUUGUGAAAGAUAUGUUAUAAGCCUUUCGACGGAAUAUGUAAAUUACAGUUGAUUGGGUCCAUAUAAUACCAUUUUGAGUUGCUAGAGUAAAGCUUAAAGAGCAGAGUUGCCAUAGCAGAGCUUCCAGAGCAGAGGGUCAGAGCCACGUUGCUAGAGCAGAGAUACCAGAGCAGAGCUAGCCAGAGCAGAGAUGCCAGAGCCAGUGCUAACCAGAGCAGAGUUGCCAGAGCAGAGCUGACAGAGCCAGAGCUAACCAGAGC